AAUCUAUGUUGUGAGCAACGGACCAAGUCUUUAUACCUCUCCCACGCUUCAUAGAGUGACUCAAAAUCAUUUUGCUUGAACUGGUCAAUCUCACUCCUGAGUUG